rnacentral:rRNA from 1 species
AGGUAAGCUACUAAGAGCGAAUGGUGGAUGCCUUGACUGGUAAAGGCGAUGAAGGACGUACUAGACUGCGAUAAGCUACGGGGAGCUGUCAAGAAGCUUUGAUCCGUAGAUUUCCGAAUGGGGCAACCCAAUGUAUAGAGAUAUACAUUACCUAUAUAGGAGCGAACGAGGGGAAUUGAAACAUCUUAGUACCCUCAGGAAAAGAAAUCAAUAGAGAUUGCGUCAGUAGCGGCGAGCGAAAGCGCAAGAGGGCAAACCCAGUGCUUGCACUGGGGGUUGUAGGACUGCAAUGUGCAAGAGGUAAGUUUAGCAGAACAUUCUGGAAAGUAUAACCAUAGAGGGUGAUAGUCCCGUAUGCGAAAAACAAACCUUAGCUAGCAGUAUCCUGAGUAGGGCGGGACACGAGGAAUCCUGUCUGAAUCCGGGUCGACCACGAUCCAACCCUAAAUACUAAUACCAGAUCGAUAGUGCACAAGUACCGUGAGGGAAAGGUGAAAAGAACUGAGGUGAUCAGAGUGAAAUAGAACCUGAAACCAUUUGCUUACAAUCAUUCAGAGCCCUAUGUAGCAAUACAGGGUGAUGGACUGCCUUUUGCAUAAUGAGCCUGCGAGUUGUGGUGUCUGGCAAGGUUAAGCAAACGCGAAGCCGUAGCGAAAGCGAGUCUGAAUAGGGCGCUUAGUCAGAUGCUGCAGACCCGAAACGAAGUGAUCUAUCCAUGAGCAAGUUGAAGCUAGUGUAAGAACUAGUGGAGGACUGAACCCAUAGGCGUUGAAAAGCCCCGGGAUGACUUGUGGAUAGGGGUGAAAGGCCAAUCAAACUUCGUGAUAGCUGGUUCUCUCCGAAAUAUAUUUAGGUAUAGCGUUGUGUCGUAAUAUAAGGGGGUAGAGCACUGAAUGGGCUAGGGCAUACACCAAUGUACCAAACCCUAUCAAACUCCGAAUACCUUAUAUGUAAUCACAGCAGUCAGGCGGCGAGUGAUAAAAUCCGUCGUCAAGAGGGAAACAACCCAGACUACCAGCUAAGGUCCCUAAAUCUUACUUAAGUGGAAAACGAUGUGAAGUUACUUAAACAACCAGGAGGUUGGCUUAGAAGCAGCCAUCCUUUAAAGAAAGCGUAAUAGCUCACUGGUCUAGUGAUUUUGCGCGGAAAAUAUAACGGGGCUAAAGUAAGUACCGAAGCUGUAGACUUAGUUUACUAAGUGGUAGGAGAGCGUUCUAUUUGCGUCGAAGGUAUACCGGUAAGGAGUGCUGGAGCGAAUAGAAGUGAGCAUGCAGGCAUGAGUAGCGAUAAUUAAUGUGAGAAUCAUUAACGCCGUAAACCCAAGGUUUCCUACGCGAUGCUCGUCAUCGUAGGGUUAGUCGGGUCCUAAGUCGAGUCCGAAAGGGGUAGACGAUGGCAAAUUGGUUAAUAUUCCAAUACCAACAUUAGUGUGCGAUGGAAGGACGCUUAGGGCUAAGGGGGCUAGCGGAUGGAAGUGCUAGUCUAAGGUCGUAGGAGGUUGUACAGGCAAAUCCGUAUAACAAUACUCCGAGAACUGAAAGGCUUUUUGAAGUCUUCGGAUGGAUAGAAGAACCCCUGAUGCCGUCGAGCCAAGAAAAGUUUCUAAGUUUAGCUAAUGUUGCCCGUACCGUAAACCGACACAGGUGGGUGGGAUGAGUAUUCUAAGGCGCGUGGAAGAACUCUCUUUAAGGAACUCUGCAAAAUAGCACCGUAUCUUCGGUAUAAGGUGUGGUUAGCUUUGUAUUAGGAUUUACUCCGAAAGCAAGGAAACUUACAACAAAGAGUCCCUCCCGACUGUUUACCAAAAACACAGCACUCUGCUAACUCGUAAGAGGAUGUAUAGGGUGUGACGCCUGCCCGGUGCUCGAAGGUUAAUUGAUGGGGUUAGCAUUAGCGAAGCUCUUGAUCGAAGCCCGAGUAAACGGCGGCCGUAACUAUAACGGUCCUAAGGUAGCGAAAUUCCUUGUCGGUUAAAUACCGACCUGCAUGAAUGGCGUAACGAGAUGGGAGCUGUCUCAAAGAGGGAUCCAGUGAAAUUGUAGUGGAGGUGAAAAUUCCUCCUACCCGCGGCAAGACGGAAAGA